rnacentral:rRNA from 1 species
GCGAGUGGCGAACGGGUGAGUAAUGCAUCGGAACGUGUCCUCUUGUGGGGGAUAACCAGUCGAAAGACUGGCUAAUACCGCAUGAGCCUGAGAGGGGAAAGCGGGGGAUUCGAAAGAACCUCGCGCGAGUGGAGCGGCCGAUGGCCGAUUAGCUAGUUGGUGAGGUAACGGCUCACCAAGGCGACGAUCGGUAGCUGGUCUGAGAGGAUGAUCAGCCACACUGGGACUGAGACACGGCCCAGACUCCUACGGGAGGCAGCAGUGGGGAAUUUUGGACAAUGGGCGCAAGCCUGAUCCAGCCAUGCCGCGUGUGUGAAGAAGGCCUUCGGGUUGUAAAGCACUUUCGGGCGGAACGAAAUCGCACGGGCUAACACCCCGUGUGGAUGACGGUACCGCAAGAAGAAGCACCGGCUAACUACGUGCCAGCAGCCGCGGUAAUACGUAGGGUGCGAGCGUUAAUCGGAAUUACUGGGCGUAAAGCGUGCGCAGGCGGU